GAGUUUGAUUAUGGCUCAGGAUGAACGCUGGCGGCGUGCUUAACACAUGCAAGUCGAACGGGCGAAUUAUAUCGGAGGUCUUCGGGCCGAAGAGAUAAUAAGCUAGUGGCGGACGGGUGCGUAACGUGUGGGUAAUCUGCCUUUGUCAUAGGAAUAACUGCUUGAAAAAGUAGCUAAUACCAAAUAACAUAUCGUAUAGGCAUCUAUAAGAUAUCAAAGAGAAAUCGGACAAAGAUGAGCCCGCAUCUGAUUAGCUGGUUGGUAGGGUAAAAGCCUACCAAGGCGACGAUCAGUAGCCGGCCUGAGAGGGUGAACGGCCACAUUGGAACUGAGACACGGUCCAAACUCCUACGGGAGGCAGCAGUGGGGAAUAUUGCACAAUGGGGGGAACCCUGAUGCAGCAACGCCGCGUGAGUGAAGAAGGCUUUCGAGUCGUAAAACUCUGUUGUAAGGGAAGAUAAUGACGGUACCUAAAA
rnacentral:rRNA from 1 species